CCUGAUAUCUCAGUUGGUAAAGAAUCUGCCUGCAAUGCAGGAGACCCUGGUUUGAUUUCAGGGUCAGGA
rnacentral:tRNA from 1 species